rnacentral:lncRNA from 1 species
UGGCAAACAGGGAUGUCUUUUAAAAGAUAUUUAGUAUCUACGACACUGAUGAGAGGCAAACGAGAAAUCGGAGCACUUUUUGCGUGUCCUUCCAUGAAAUGAUGUAACAAUCAACAAUAUAUACCGAGUCCACACACCUCGAAUUGGAAAAAGGAAUAUAGGAUCACAGAUACAAUAAAGGAUAGAGACCUUGAAUACAUCAAGCAUAUCUGAAUUGACAAAUAACGAAGCCAAUAAUAUUUUGAUAGAAAUACAUAAGCCAAUAUUUUUUUGAUAAAACUAACGAUGCCAGGUUUUUUGAUAAAAAUGAAGAAGCCAAUAUAGCAUAUGGAACUUAUUAAUAGGUUAGGGAAGACCAACUUUCUAAUGAAUAACUAGACCAGGACAGAAACCAAGUCAGGUUUCUUUGAGACAUCAAGGGUUGAAUUGAGAUGGAUUGGUCAACAACAUCAACUUCCUUAAACCAAAAAAUACUCGUUUCGUUCAGUUUUAAUUUCUUUUCAGCUUUUAAAAUCUUUUGAACUUCGAUUGCAUCCCAGCUCUAAAGGUUCUAUGUACUAUUAAGAUAUACUAAAAUGUGAUGGAUCUUAAACUAUGGUUUGGAAACCUAUAAAAUCAAUAACAAAAACAAAGGUGAUGAAAUGAAAAGAGUAAUAAUUUCCUUAGAUUGGCUGCGUACUACUUCACCGAUACAUUAAAAUUAUAGUACAAAAUGACAUAAUCAAACAUGGACCUCUAUAUCUGCACCCAAUACUCAUAAUUACCCACAUGAAAAUAAGUUGUUUUUUCUAAGAGGUGAACAAUAUAAAUAGAGAGCUGCUGUUUGGUACAAACAUCUAAGAGAACUACAUCUUUUGUUUGAAAGUGCAAGUUGGCGCAAAGAGCUCACAGUACAAUAACUCUUUUCUAUUCCAAUGCUACUGCUAGUCUAGCAUUGACAGAACUAACUAUCUUAGCCUAAUCUUGCCUCUCUCCUCAUAGGAUUGACUUAUAGUGUGUCCCUCAACCUUAGAUUUCCGGAGCCAUAUUAUUUAGGAUGUAAUGCCUCUCCUCAUACUACAGCAAACCUUACCCAGUUUGCACCCUCACGCUCGCAUCCUACUAUAGACUUAUCCACUUCAUCUAUAAAUGCUUUUUAUGGGAUUCCAAAUUCAAAUUUACCAAGGGCCUGGCAGGCAGCUCCUUUAUAAGGGUUUUCUGAUAUUUCAAAAUUUCAGAUUUAGAGGAUUUUUCAUCCUCCUCUUGGUAUUUUGUUCUCUCUCUAUCUCUCUCCAUAUAAACUUUCUUCUUUUAUAGGGGGAGGACAUUCUAGAAUAGUAUCAUACAGAAAUUGAAGAGCAAAAUAUUUAUUUUAAAAAAGAAGGUUCUUAGAUUAUACAAGAAGAAACAUACGCUGUAAAGAAAAGCCUUCCGUGCUAUGUCAGAGAUUGUAAGCUGAUUUUGGCUGGCAAAAAGAACAACAAAAUAGCAAAAUGAUAUGUUUCAUUAUUAUCACAUGCUGGUAAUACAAAAUGGCUAAAACAACUUACCACUAUGAGAAGAGACAUAACUCUUAUAAAGGUUUGACCUCAAUAAAAUUUGCAAAUCCUUAUGCAUCAGUAACAUAAAAAAACCU